rnacentral:rRNA from 1 species
CUGCCCAGUGACAAAGUUUAACGGCCGCGGAACCCUAACCGUGCAAAGGUAGCAUAAUCACUUGCCUAUUAAUUGUAGGCUAGAAUGAACGGAUGAACGAAAUAAAGACUGUCUCAAUCAGCUCACUAAAAAUUAACACAUGUAUGAAGAGUUACAAAUAAUGUCGAAGGACAAGAAGACCCUGUAGAGCUUUAUUUAUGGUGUUGAAACUUCAACAUAAAAAUUCGGUUGGGGCGACCAGGGAUAAACACAAUAACAACCUAAACGAAAACGAUUAAUGUAUCUAUAAACUGACCCUAAUAAGAGUGCAAAAACAAGCUACCUUAGGGAUAACAGGCUAAUCCUAUUUAAGAGUUCAUAUCUACAGUAGGGGUUGGCACCUCGAUGUUGGCUUAGGGUAUCAGUAUGGCGCAAAAGUUGUAUUAAGAUGGUUUGUUCAACCAGUAACUCCCU